rnacentral:rRNA from 1 species
UUCCGGUUGAUCCUGCCGGACCUGACUGCUAUCGGAUUGAUACUAAGCCAUGCGAGUCUUUGCAGUAAUGCAAGGCAUACGGCUCAGUAACACGUAGUCAACUUACCCUAUGGACGAGGAUAAUCUCGGGAAACUGAGCAUAAUACUCGAUAGAUCAUAAUGCCUGGAAUGGUUUAUGGUUGAAAUGAUUCGUCGCCAUAGGAUGGGACUGCGGCCUAUCAGCUUGUUGGUGAGGUAAUGGCCCACCAAGGCGAUUACAGGUACGGGCUCUGAGAGGAGAAGCCCGGAGAUGGGUACUGAGACAAGGACCCAGGCCCUAUGGGGCGCAGCAGGCGAGAAAACUUUGCAAUGUGCGAAAGCACGACAAGGUUAAUCCGAGUGAUUUCUGCUAAAGGAAUCUUUUGUUAGUUCUAAAAAUACUAGUGAAUAAGGGGUGGGCAAGUUCUGGUGUCAGCCGCCGCGGUAAAACCAGCACCUCAAGUGGUCAGGAGGAUUAUUGGGCCUAAAGCAUCCGUAGCCUGUUCUAUAAGUUUGCGGUUAAAUCUAUACGCUCAACGUAUAGGCUGCCGUAAAUACUGUAGAACUAGGGAGUGGGAGAGGUAGACGGUACUCGAUAGGAAGGGGUAAAAUCCUUUGAUCUAUUGAUGACCACCUGUGGCGAAGGCGGUCUACCAGAACACGUUCGACGGUGAGGGAUGAAAGCUGGGGGAGCAAACCGGAUUAGAUACCCGGGUAGUCCCAGCUGUAAACGAUGCAGACUCGAUGAUGCAAUGGCAUAGAGCUAUUGCAGUAUCGCAGGGAAGCCGUUAAGUUUGCCGCCUGGGAAGUACGUACGCAAGUAUGAAACUUAAAGGAAUUGGCGGGGGAGCACCACAAGGGGUGAAGCCUGCGGUUCAAUUGGAUUCAACGCCGGG